rfam:Capsicum annuum cultivar Zunla-1 chromosome 6, whole genome shotgun sequence
AUGACCUUACUUGAAUAGGACCUGUUCUAUAGGCUCGUACCACUGAAUCCUUGGUUCUUAAGGAGACAGGAGACUAGGUUUGGUUGAUGAAGUAGGUCCAUGGGACCAGAGCGUGAAUAACAGCCAUCCAUGGCUUGUUCGAGCGCCCUGCUGGUGUAGAUGAUCGUUCAUCCUGGUACACAGGACACGAGAUGGUUUCAUGGUUGUCUGACAGAGA